rnacentral:tRNA from 1 species
ACCUGGCUGGCUCAGUUGGUAGAGCAUAUGACUCCUGAUCUCAGGGUCGUGCGUUUGAGUCCAUGCUGGGUG